ensembl:rRNA 5S_rRNA 5S ribosomal RNA
GCUUACGGCCACACCCACCCUGAGCGCGCCCGAUCUCGUCUGAUCUCGGAAGCUAAGCAGGGUCGGGCCUGGUUAGUACUUGGAUGGGAGACCGCCUGGGAAUACCAGGUGCCGUAAGCU